rnacentral:rRNA from 1 species
AGCGGAGGAAAAGAAACCAACAGGGAUUGCCCCAGUAACGGCGAGUGAAGCGGCAACAGCUCAAAUUUGAAAUCUGGCGCCCCCCCGCGGGCGCCCGAGUUGUAAUUUGCAGAGGAUGCUUUUGGCGAGGCGCCUUCCGAGUGCCCUGGAACGGGACGCCACAGAGGGUGAGAGCCCCGUCUGGUCGGCCGCCGAGCCUCUGUAAAGCUCCUUCGACGAGUCGAGUAGUUUGGGAAUGCUGCUCUAAUCGGGAGGUAUAUGUCUUCUAAAGCUAAAUACCGGCCAGAGACCGAUAGCGCACAAGUAGAGUGAUCGAAAGAUGAAAAGCACCUUGAAAAGAGGGUUAAACAGUACGUGAAAUUGUUGAAAGGGAAGCGCUCAUGACCAGACUUGGGCCCUGCGGAUCAGCCGGCGGUCCUCCGCCGGCGCACUCCGCCGGGCGCAGGCCAGCAUCAGCUCGCGCCGGGGGACAAAGGCGGCGGGAACGUGGCUCCCCCAGGGGAGUGUUAUAGCCCGCCGCGCAAUGCCCCGGGGGCGGACUGAGGCCCGCGCGCUCCUGCGCAUGGAUGCUGGCGUAAUGGUCAUUAGCGACCCGUCUUG